GGUUGCGGAACUACCUUCAUUUACAUAUUAGGCUUUAAAAGUCGUCGGUGAAUCCACGAUUGUCAAGCAACCAUGCAAUCCUCAUAUACUUCCUCCAUUCCAUAAUUUCCACCCAUAUGCAACCUAAGCAGAAUAUAUAUGUAUGCAUGUCACAUCCAUAAAACUUACAUUCUACACCGAGGGGUAUUUUGGUUAUUUCGCCC
rnacentral:lncRNA from 1 species